UACGUAGGGGGCAAGCGUUGUCCGGAAUUAUUGGGCGUAAAGAGCGCGUAGGCGGUCCGGUAAGUCGGCUGUGAAAGUCAAGGGCUCAACCCUCGAAUGCCGGUGGAUACUGUCGGGCUAGAGUGCAGGAAGAGGCGAGUGGAAUCCUGGUGUAGCGGUGAAAUGCGCAGAUAUCAGGAGGAACACCGAUAGCGAAGGCAGCUCGCUGGGACGGUACUGGACGCUAAGGCGCGAAAGCGUGGGGAGCGAACGAGGAAC
rnacentral:rRNA from 1 species